ACGCUGGCGGCGUGCCUAAUACAUGCAAGUCGAACGCUUCUUUCCUCCCGAGUGCUUGCACUCAAUUGGAAAGAGGAGUGGCGGACGGGUGAGUAACACGUGGGUAACCUACCCAUCAGAGGGGGAUAACACUUGGAAACAGGUGCUAAUACCGCAUAACAGUUUAUGCCGCAUGGCAUAAGAGUGAAAGGCGCUUUCGGGUGUCGCUGAUGGAUGGACCCGCGGUGCAUUAGCUAGUUGGUGAGGUAACGGCUCACCAAGGCCACGAUGCAUAGCCGACCUGAGAGGGUGAUCGGCCAC
rnacentral:rRNA from 1 species